rnacentral:lncRNA from 1 species
UUAUGAGUUCAGCCAAGCAUCAGACAGAAGUGUGAUAGUAUCAGAAUUCUUAAUUAUUUUCAGUCUUCAAUGUUUGGGAACCUGGGUCAGAAGAGUCUUGAAACCUUUUCUUUCUUUCUUUCCUCCCUUCCUUCCUCCCUCCCUCCCUCCCUUCCUUCCUUGCUUUCUUUGCUUAUUUCCUUUUAAAAGUUUAAAAAAUUUGUUUGGGGGUACAUAGUAUGUGUAUAUAUUUAUAGGGUACAUGAGAUGUUUUGAUAAAGGCAGGCAAUGCAAAAUAAUCACAUCAUGGAGAAUAGGGUAUCCAUUCCUUCAAGCAUUUAUCCUCUGUGUUACAAACGAUUCAAUUACAUACAGUUUUGGUUAUUUUUAAAAUGUACCAUUAUGCUAUGGUCACCCUGUUGUGCUAUCAAAUAGUAGGUCUGUUCUUUAAUAUUAUAAUUAUGAGACUUGGCUGAUGACAAGAAUUUGCAUACGGGUGUUUUCUUUUUUUAUAUAUUUUUUAAUUUUUUGAGACGGCUUUUUGCUCUUGUUGCAGUGAGCUGAGAUUGUGCCACUGCACUCCAGCCUGGUGACAGAGCAAAACUCCAUCUCAAAAAAAAAAAAAAAAAAAGAAAACGCCCAUUAAUUGAACGCCUAUUAUAUAUCCAGGAUGUACUAAGAGCUAUACGAAAAAUCAAGAUUAAUCUUUUAAAUAUAAAAUUAUUGAGAUGUGGCUUAAUUCUGAAUCAGAGAAUUUUCCAGAUCAUGGAGAUCUCUAUCUCCUAAACAACAAAUAUUGAUAAUUUUAAAUUACUUUUUCUCCACCUAAAUUUACCUAUUUGAUACGAUGAAUGAAGGUCAACAUGGAUUAAAAAUUUGGAUAUCAGUCUAUCAUUAGAGAAUUAAGAGACUGGUAUAGAGAGAAAAAAAUAGAUUUAGGAAUACAUACCUUCACGCAGUACAUGGAAGAAACACCUAACUGUUGUGACAUCAAAUAUGUUAAAGCGCUUUCAUUAACUUAAUUUUAGGAAUAUCAAAAUGCAACGUGUAAAUCCGGUUAAUAAUUAGAGGGGAUGCCAGCAUGCACACAGCUCCUCCAAGAUAGCCAGUUAAGAUGAUGUGUGAGUAAUAGAAAAAUCAUUUCUAUUUUUGGAAUGGUUUAUAUAAUUUUUCAACAGAAAAUUACAGGAUUAGAAGGAACCUAAAAGGAUGAUAUGGUCCAGUACCCUGACGUCAAUAAAUGAGUGGCUAUUUUUCCUGAUUUGCUCUUUUCAUAAAAUUGUUGCAGAAAUGAAAACUGCUUGCCUUCUCUUUUUGCCAUUCCAUUAUUUUAACCAUCUGUGGGUCAAGGAGUUAUUCUUAAUUAUUACUACGUUUAGUUUCUUUGUUGAAAUAGAGAAGAGUUAUAGUUAGUAUCUUUUAAAUUAAACAUUUUUUGAGUACUAGCUCUUACUCUAGUUUCUUGGUACCAUAUCUUUCAGCUUUCUCUCAAAAGGUAUUUUCAUUCUUAUCAAUGCUUUUCCUAUCAUUCUGGAUACUUCGUUAAGUUUAUCUUCAUUUCUCUAAGAAGUGUAAGGUGUAGUGGAAGUAUUAAUUUAGUAUACUUGUGGUUUCUAUUUGCCUGUUUUCCCUUUGAGAGCAGUACACUCCUUUUAUUUCUGAAUACUCUGCAUCAGAGCCCCUUGUCUGGCAUGUAGAAUAUGUUCA